rnacentral:misc_RNA from 1 species
AACCAUAGAAACCUGCGGAGUACCUGCGGAAGGAUCAUUAACACACAAAUAUUAUUUAAAUCCACUUAAAAUGGUGGGGGUAAAGAGGACACUAAAACCUCCUGCUUUUCGCAUUUGAAAGGACCCAUCAUUUUAAGCACCGUGAAACGUUAAAGUCCGUAACCAUAUCAUCUUUGAUAUGGUGGUCUUUUGCACCAUCGAACUUUAUAUAUCAUUUUUAAAAGGCUUAAAUAAAAACCC